UACGGAGGGUGCGAGCGUUGUCCGGAAUCAUUGGGCGUAAAGGGCGCGUAGGCGGCCCGGUCAGUCUUUGGUGAAAGCGCGGGGCUCAACCCUGCGUCGGCCAGGGAUACUGCCGCGGCUCGAGCACUGUAGAGGCAGGCGGAAUUCCGGGUGUAGCGGUGGAAUGCGUAGAGAUCCGGAAGAACACCGGUGGCGAAGGCGGCCUGCUGGGCAGUUUAGCUGACACUGAGGCGCGACAGCGUGGGGAGCAAACAGG
rnacentral:rRNA from 1 species